rnacentral:rRNA from 1 species
UAAUACGUAGGGGGCAAGCGUUGUCCGGAAUUAUUGGGCGUAAAGCGCGCCCAGGCGGCUUUGUAAGUCUGGUGUUUAAACCUAGGGCUCAACCCUGGGUCGCAUUGGAAACUGCAAGGCUUGAGUGCAGAAGAGGAGAGUGGAAUUCCACGUGUAGCGGUGAAAUGCGUAGAGAUGUGGAGGAACACCAGUGGCGAAGGCGACUCUCUGGGCUGUAACUGACGCUGAGGCGCGAAAGCGUGGGGAGCAAACAGG